CGUAUGAUUAUUCCACUGUAAAACAGUUGGUUACUUAUUUUAUUACCACCUAUCGAGUUUUGUUGACGUUGGUGAGCCAUCUCCGGUAAAGUCAAAACAAUACGUCGGCUGUGCCUUUAUAAUAUAGAGUAAGUAUCUUUGAAUACCUAUUAUGGCGAUUGUUAAUUACAUAAAAAUAAUAUUUUUUGUCAAAUUUUGAAGAGCGUCACCGGCAAUUUGUUUUCCAAUGCAUCUACAAAAUAGCGUCCGCGGUAAAGUUUGAAAUCGAUCGAACAUAAUUGACACGUGGCGAUUAAAGCUCAACAAUUUUAAUGGAAAAACGUAAAAUUUCAUA